rnacentral:rRNA from 1 species
UACGUAGGGACCAAGCGUUGUUCGGAUUUACUGGGCGUAAAGGGCGCGUAGGCGGCAAUUCAAGUCAUCUGUGAAAUCUCCGGGCUUAACCCGGAACGGUCAGAUGAUACUGCUUUGCUAGAGUGCGGAAGGGGCAAUCGGAAUUCUUGGUGUAGCGGUGAAAUGCGUAGAUAUCAAGAGGAACACCUGAGGUGAAGACGGGGUUGCUGGGCCGACACUGACGCUGACAGCGCGAAAGCCAGGGGAGCAAACGGG